rnacentral:rRNA from 1 species
UACAGAGGUCCCAAGCGUUGUUCGGAUUCAUUGGGCGUAAAGGGUGCGUAGGCGGCAGGGUAAGUUGGAUGUGAAAUCCUGGGGCUUAACCUCAGAAUUGCAUUCAAUACUGCCUUGCUAGAGAGCUGUAGAGGAGACUGGAAUUUACGGUGUAGCAGUGAAAUGCGUAGAUAUCGUAAGGAACGCCAGUGGCGAAAGCGAGUCUCUGGGCAGCAUCUGACGCUGAGGCACGAAGGCCAGGGGAGCAAAC